UACGAAGGGUGCAAGCGUUAAUCGGAAUUACUGGGCGUAAAGGAUGCGUAGGCGGUUGUUUAAGUCUGUCGUGAAAUCCCCGGGCUCAACCUGGGAAUGGCGAUGGAUACUGGGCAGCUAGAGUGUGUCAGAGGAUGGUGGAAUUCCCGGUGUAGCGGUGAAAUGCGUAGAGAUCGGGAGGAACAUCAGUGGCGAAGGCGGCCAUCUGGGACAACACUGACGCUGAAGCACGAAAGCGUGGGGAGCAAACAGG
rnacentral:rRNA from 1 species